rnacentral:lncRNA from 10 species
CUGGAGACAAGCCGCAGCUCAGCAGAAGGCAAAGACAAGGCUGCCGGGCUGUGGAAUCCAUGCCCUGGGAGUGGCUGCUGGGCAGGCUUCCAUGCAGCUCUGGUGAAACAACACAUAGAGACUGUGUGGCUCCAGCUCCCCUCGGUCCCCUGAGGAUGCACUGACCUGCUGCAAAUAAAAUGACAUCCUCCAAGCCCAAUUUAAGAUUACAGCUUCCAAACCCAUCCUGAAAUUUCUCCAGAUGUCCUUCUUAUUCAUUUGCCCUCCUGCUCCAGGGAACAUCAUUUUGGUUCCAGGACUUGAACUAUUCAUUGAGCACAGGCAACCAAAGCAAACAUGGACAAAUGGGAUCACAUCAAGUUACAAAGCUUCUGCACAGCAAAGGAAGCAGUCAACAAAGUGAAGAGACAACCCACAGAAUAGGAGAAAAAAUUUUGCAGACCACCCAUCUGACAAGGUAUUAAUAACCAGAAUAUAGAAGGAGCUCAAACAACUCCACAGGAAAAAACCUAAUAAUCUGAUCAUAAAAUGGCAAAAUAUCUGAAUAUAUAUUUCUCAGGAGAAGACAUACAAAUGGCAAACAGGCAUUUGAGAAGGCACUCAACAUCAUUGAUAAACAGAGAAAUGCAAAUCAAAACUACAAUGAGGUAUUAUCUCCCUCCAGUUAAAAUGGCCUCUAUCCAAAAGACAGGCAAUAACAAAUGCUGAUGAGGAUGUGAAGAAAAGUGAACCCUUGUACGCUAUUGGUGGGAAUGUAAAUUAGUACAAUCACUAUGGAGGACAGUUUGGAGACUCCUCAAAAAACUGCAAAUAGAGCCACCAUAUGAUCCAGCAAUCCCACUGAUGCUGUGGCAUUCCAGUAGGCCUGGGACAAGAUGGACUGUGUAUGUCAGUCUCAUUAAUGUGCAGGAAUGAAGGAUCUGCACUCUGUAGGACAAAGCAAAGUGAGAAUCAUUCGUUGUGGAUUUUUGAUGAUGGCUCCCAGCAUUGUUUGAGCAUCUGUGAGCAGCCUCUAUCCUGACCUGUGAUUUGAAUGAAAGUGGGGCCAAUCUGUUUUUCCCAGCUGGGCAGACUGCCAAAAAGCCUGUCAAAUGACAUUUCACUGUGCCUGUGUUCAACAGCUUUAUAGGCUCAAGGAUCUAAUCUUAUCAACGCUCAGAGUGUAAACCUGCCACUCAGGUACAGAUGCACAGUUGCAGAGCUCACAAGAUCCAGAUGUAUAAACAAGGAGGCCAUUGAGGAACCUAUAGCAAAAACUAUAAUCCUCAGGUUGACCAGACAGCUCACCCUGACAUCUUUAGCAAAUGACUUUUGUAUGCACAAAAAGGAUCAAAAUCGUCAUUUUGAUCACAAAGCCUGCUCUGGAGGGCAUGAAAUCAGAAGAAAGCGUUGGAUCAUUCAAGCAGCAUCAAUAGCUAGAGAUCUCCCAUCCAGAUCCUGGGCAGUUCAUAGAUGGAUGCUUUCAACAUUUGCUUCAAUGACACUUGAUAUGAUAUUUACACACUGUCUUCUGACCAACACUUCUGUCUCUUAACUGAUUAAC